CAAUGGCAUAAGCCAGCUUGACUGCGAGCGUGACGGCGCGAGCAGGUGCGAAAGCAGGUCAUAGUGAUCCGGUGGUUCUGAAUGGAAGGGCCAUCGCUCAACGGAUAAAAGGUACUCCGGGGAUAACAGGCUGAUACCGCCCAAGAGUUCAUAUCGACGGCGGUGUUUGGCACCUCGAUGUCGGCUCAUCACAUCCUGGGGCUGAAGUAGGUCCCAAGGGUAUGGCUGUUCGCCAUUUAAAGUGGUACGCGAGCUGGGUUUAGAACGUCGUGAGACAGUUCGGUCCCUAUCUGCCGUGGGCGCUGGAGAACUGAGGGGGGCUGCUCCUAGUACGAGAGGACCGGAGUGGACGCAUCACUGGUGUUCGGGUUGUCAUGCCAAUGGCACUGCCCGGUAGCUAAAUGCGGAAGAGAUAAGUGCUGAAAGCAUCUAAGCACGAAACUUGCCCCGAG
rnacentral:rRNA from 1 species